GAGGGGGCAAGCAUCUAGACUAUGGAACAACUUUGCAUUAAGUGGUUUACAAUCUAGCCGGGAAACGCACCCUCACGGUGGAGGACCGAUCAGAGGAGGCUGGGAGCCGCUGAAUGAGUAAAUGGGAGAUGGAGGAAGAGGACUCUUAACUGGGCCUUACGAAAUGGCCACACACAGAGGUCCUGACUCAGAAACGUUUAUAGUUAAAAUGUUGGAGCAGUGAACGCUGAGACGUGGAAAACAGCAUGUCACAGAGGAUCUGAAAGCGGGAAAGUCUGGAAGGAGAGGCCUCAACGCUUAUUUAAAGCAGUAGGUGGGCUGGAGAGACCGCUCAUCGGGUAGAAGCGCCCCCUUCUGGUCCCUGUGAGCACUGCAUGUGUGUCAGAUAGACACGUGUGAGCAAAACAUAAACACACACACACACACACAGAAUGAAAAUUAAAUCUUUAGAAAGAAAAUUGAAGCACUGGUGACAUUCCAGAUUUUAGUUCCCAGGACAAGUGUCAUUUAAAGUCCUCAUAACAAAAGU